rnacentral:ncRNA from 2 species
ACGUGCAUGGUCGGCUGCUGUCACAGUUCGGGGGAAAACACGCGUGGGUGCGCGGUAAUUCCGGUGUGAUUCCGGAGCGGUCGCGCCACUGUAUUCCGUACCGGGUCCCCGGUGCCGGAGAGCCAGACACCGGCACCUGCGCACCACACUUC